UACGAAGGGGGCGAGCGUUGCUCGGAAUCACUGGGCGUAAAGCGCACGUAGGCGGCUCUUUAAGUCAGGGGUGAAAUCCUGGAGCUCAACUCCAGAACUGCCUUUGAUACUGGGGAUCUCGAGUGCGGGAGAGGUGAGUGGAACUCCGAGUGUAGAGGUGAAAUUCGUAGAUAUUCGGAAGAACACCAGUGGCGAAGGCGGCUCACUGGCCCGGUACUGACGCUGAGGUGCGAAAGCGUGGGGAGCAAACAGG
rnacentral:rRNA from 1 species